GAUGAAGAACGUAGCGAAAUGCGAUACGUAAUGUGAAUUGCAGAAUUCAGUGAAUCAUCGAAUCUUUGAACGCACAUUGCACUCUCUGGUAUUCCGGAGAGUAUGCUUGUUUGAGUAUCUGUAAACAUCUCAAAUCUCUCUUCAAUUGCUUCAAUUGGGUCGAGAGAAUUGGAUUUGAGCGAUCCCGACUCCUUCGUCAGAAAGAGGAGGGUCGCUUGAAAUGCAGGUGCAGCUAGACAUUCUUCUCAGCAAAAAGCAUAUCUAUUUAGUCCCUUCAAACGGAUUAUUACUUUUGCUUCAGCUAAUAUAAAGGUUGAAUGAACUACCAACGCUGAUUGCAGGAAAACAUGUUCGUUUAUUCGGACUUGUAAACUCGAUCUCAAAUCAAGUAAGACUACCCGCUGAACUUAAGCAUAUCAAUAAGCGGAGGA
rnacentral:misc_RNA from 1 species